CGGGAAAUAGUUUAAAGAAAAUGUUGGCUUUGGAAGUUAAAGCUCCUGUAACCCAGGUUUCCCGA
rnacentral:tRNA from 1 species